AGUGAACGCUGGCGGCAGGCCUAACACAUGCAAGUCGAGCGGCAGCGCGUCCGACCACCCUCGGGUGGUCGGAUGGCGGCGAGCGGCGGGACGGGUGAGGAAUGCAUCGGAAUCUGCCUCGUUGUGGGGGAUAACGUAGGGAAACUUACGCUAAUACCGCAUACGACCUACGGGUGAAAGGUGGGGGACCUUCGGGCCUCACGCGAUGAGAUGAGCCGAUGCCGGAUUAGCUAGUUGGCGGGGUAAAGGCCCACCAAGGCGACGAUCCGUAGCUGGUCUGAGAGGAUGAUCAGCCACACUGGAACUGAGACACGGUCCAGACUCCUACGGGAGGCAGCAGUGGGGAAUAUUGGACAA
rnacentral:rRNA from 1 species